GUUCCCAGCACCUGAUGUCUGCUCCAUGCAUGGGUGUCAGGCAGCUCUUUUAAAACCCGGCCCUGCUGAGAUCCAUGGCAAAACUCCUAUCGACUUCAGCAAGGCAGGACUUCAAUCCUGGCCUUCGGUGCAAGUAGGAGGCAGCUUACUCCGCAUGCAACAGGCUGGCUCAUGGGGAGAUCUAGCUGAAACCAUAAAUAAGUCGGAACAACGUUGGGAGGGUGGCUUGAAGGGGAAGUGUGAAGGAGAAAUAUGAAACAAAUAAAAGCGUAAGGAGCGGAGCAGGAAGGAGGGUAGAUGGUGGAGCCAUCCCCGAAGCUCCCUAAAAGUGAAUUAUUUAGUCAUUGCAGCAGGGCUCUGCUGAGACAGUCUGGCGUGGUGAACGCAGGCGGCGCGUGCCCCCUCCAGCCAGCCCCGUUCCCUCGCCCUGUCUGUCCCCUGCUCCUGUCGACUCCUUAACGCACAGUGGCGUCUGAUGCUUUGCUGAAGGAAAAUGAUAAUUGCCUUUUUAUUCAUUUUGAUAGCAUCAUGAAACAUUAAAAUCGGAUUUGGUCGGUCACAUGGGAGCGUCAUCCAUCAGCGACUUGGUGUGCAAGUGUGUGCGCGAGAGUUUUCCCCACUGCAGGCGGAAGGCAUUAUUAAAGAAACUAAUCAUUAAAAAAAAAAUAGUACAAAUAACCUAGUUAUCUGGUGAGCCUAAUGGCUUUAUUUUUCCAUUCUCCGGCAUAAUGAGAGCAGUCUGGGCUGCUGGAAUCUGCCUCUCUGAGAGCCUAAUUGUUUUUAAAUGUCUUUGCUAACCACUUCACAUAGAGCCCAUAAAUCUGUUUUCGGGUAACUGAGAGCCACGCUUCUGAGCUCCCUUUCACAAUGACACAUUUGUGCGUUAAUUAAGAACACGUUUAGGAAGACGUAAUCCUUCAGUCUUUAACACGUGACCGUUCGCUGCGCUGGAGGAGGGUCCGCACGGUGGGCUUCUGUCUGCUGCUGCUGGGAGCGUGGCUGUGCGAAUCGUCCUGAGCCGUGGAUGGCCACCCGUGGGGCUCCUAGCAAGAGAAAUGCUCCCAGGCAGAGCUUUCAAGUGUUUCUCCGCCUUAGCGGAUGCUGCAGAAAACCUUGCACAAAAUCGUCGCCUGGGAAGUGUGCGCGACUCCUCAGAAGCAGCAAUAGGCUUCCUCCACCUAAGAAAAACCAGCGGCGAAAUUGUUUUGGAUUUACUGAAAAACCAGCGGCCAAAUUGUUUUGGAUUUACUGGUGCUUUUACUAAAGGAAACGCGGAGGGUGGGGGUGUGCAUGGGGCGGGGGAUUGGUUUUGGGAGAAAUCUGUGCCUUCACUACCAGUGUCUUCCUUGCCCAGAAAGACAAUCUGCCCAGUGUCACUGCGGUGAAGGGUGUUUGUGCUUGAAAGCUUGCAAAGAUUAAUUUUUCCAACUAUUUGAGUUGGACUAAUAAAAGAUAUCGGAUUUACCCAAAGAA